rnacentral:tRNA from 1 species
UACAAUGUAGCUCAGUUGGUUAGAGCAAUGGAAUGUUAAUCCAUAGCGCAUCGGUUCAAUUCCGAUCGUUGUAA